CGAGCGGUAACAUUUCUAGCUUGCUAGAAGAUGACGAGCGGCAGGACGGGUGAGUAAUGCUUGGGAAUAUGCCUUUGAGUGGGGGACAACAGUUGGAAACGACUGCUAAUACCGCAUAACCGUCUACGGACCAAAGGGGGGGAUCUUCGGACCUCUCGCUCAUUGAUUAGCCCAAGUGAGAUUAGCUAGUUGGUAAGGUAAUGGCUUACCAAGGCGACGAUCUCUANCUGGUUUGAGAGGAUGAUCAGCCACACUGGGACUGAGACACGGCCCANACUCCUACGGNAGGCAGCAGUGGGGAAUAUUGCACAAUGGGGGAAACCCUGAUGCAGCCAUGCCGCGUGUGUGAAGAAGGCCUUCGGGUUGUAAAGCACUUUCAGUUGUGAGGAAAGGGGU
rnacentral:rRNA from 1 species